rnacentral:rRNA from 1 species
GCACAUAUCCAUUGACCCGUCGAUUUCCGAAUGGGGGAACCCUAUAAACUACUACCUGAAUUCAUAGGGUAGAAAGAGCUAACUCAGGGAAGUGAACCAUCUCAGUACCUGAAGGAAGAGAAAACAACAGUGAUUCCGUGAGUAGCGGCGAGCGAAAACGGACCAGCCUAAACCAUCUGGGCUUGCUCAGGUGGGGUCGUGGGACCAGACAUAACGGAAGGGAAUAAUUAGGGGAAAUGUGUGGAAAAGCACACCAUAGAGCGUGAUAGUCGCGUACCCGAAAAUUUGAACCUCCAGUUUGGCACCCGAGUAACGCGGGACACGAGGAAUCUUGCGUGAAUUUG